CCUACGGGUGGCAGCAGUGAGGCAUAUUGGUCAAUGGGCGCGAGCCUGAACCAGCCAAGUAGCGUGAAGGAUGACUGCCCUACGGGUUGUAAACUUCUUUUAUAAGGAAUAAAGUGAGGCACGUGUGCCUUUUUGUAUGUACUUUAUGAAUAAGGAACGGCGAACUCCGUGCCUGCAGCCGCGGUAAUACGGAGGAUCCCGACGUUAUGCGGAUUUAUUGGGUUUAAAGGGGGCUUAGAUGGGUUGUUAAGUCAGUUGUGAAAGUUUGCGGCUCAACCGUAAAAUUGCAAUUGAUACUGGCAGCCUUGAGUACAGUUGAGGUAGGCGGAAUUCGUGGUGUAGCGGUGAAAUGCUUAGAUAUCACGAAGAACUCCGAUUGCGAAGGCAGCCUACUAAACUGCCACUGACAUUGAUGCUCGAAAGUGUGGGUAUCAAACAGGAUUAGAUACCCGGGUAGGC
rnacentral:rRNA from 1 species